rnacentral:rRNA from 2 species
AACGUAGGGGACGAGCGUUAUCCGGAUUUACUGGGCGUAAAGCGCAUGUAGGUGGCUUGAAAAGUUGGACGUGAAAGCUCCCGGCUUAACUGGGAGAGGUCGUUCAAAACUGGCAAGCUUGAGGUUGGAAGAGGAGAGCGGAAUUCCCGGUGUAGUGGUGGAAUGCGUAGAUAUCGGGAGGAACACCAGUGGCGAAAGCGGCUCUCUGGUUCAAUACUGACACUGAGAUGCGAAAGCGUGGGGAGCGAACGGG